rnacentral:tRNA from 1 species
GGACUAUAGCUCAGUGGUAGAGCGCUUGCCUAGCAUGUGUGAGGCACUGGGUUCGAUUCUCAGCACCA